rnacentral:tRNA from 1 species
GCUCUCUUAAUUUAAUGGAUAGAAUAGUCCCCUCCUAAGGGAUCAAUGCUGGUUCGAGUCCAGCAGGGAGCACCA